CGGGUAGUAGCUCAGAGGUAGAGCGCCCGCUUCAUAUGCGGGAAGGCCUGGGUUCAUUUCCGGGUUGCUUGC
rnacentral:tRNA from 1 species